CCACUCCCGCCCACCCCCUCGUUUCCAUACGGUUUGUUCACAGGCCCCUCCUAGGCCGGGGGUGAAUGCUCACUUACACUGACCGCUGCGAGGGAAUUGUUCGAAAGAUUCCAAAGUAUUUCACUGGACAUGCUCUCUGACUUCUGGAACUUAAAGAACUGGUGAUAUUAAAAAAGAUUUAGCCUAAACUAAAAACACACACCAGAGAUCCUAAACUAAAUAAUUUUAUGUCUUCAUCUUUUGUCAUGACUUUCCACUAAAAUAAUUAUUCCUGAAGCUUUUAGAUGAAAUAACCAUAGAAACAAGUUUCUUCUUUUCUGGAUGAUUGGCCACAGGAAAAUGGAAUGUAGGAGAUGCUGAUAAAAAUAUGGAAUUUAAGGAUUGAAAUCCAACUGAACUUGGGCUUCCUGCUUCAUCCUGCACCUGCCUUCUUGAAAGAAAACAAGACAUCAGAUACUUACUCAAAUAAUGGAAUAGCUGAUCAACUAGGUUUUCACACAAUACUGGCACAGUGUUGGUGAAUUGACUGGAACCAGAUGUCCUUCCUUCCUGGAAAGGAUGAUGUCGUAUUGGAGCCUGGAAAGUUAUCCAGUGAAGCAUGGAUGAACUGGAGAAUAACAAGAGAAAAAGCCAGUGAUGCUGAAAGCAGCUACUCCUGCCUUCUCCUCUGCUUUUUGCCAGCUUCUUCCUAGAUAUGAAUUUGGAAUUGUCCCCUGUUAGCUUAUAUCUGUUUCAUAAUCAUAUUUUCUUUGUGGUCAAGUUGCAAAGCAGAAUGGCUGCCAGGGGUUAGGAGAAUCAUAGUUUGGCCUUCCUUGGAAUUUUCCCCAGAUACCCUAGAAGGUUAUUUUUCCGCUUUUUACACUUGGUGCGCUGUUUGAUAGUGUGACACCUGGUGACUGGAGUUUUCUAGCUCUCCACCUGCUCACAAAAUAUGGUAUUUCUUUGAUCUAAAAAUACUCUUCUUGUAAGAUGUAGAAGAGAAAAAAACAAAUUAAAAAGUUUAAAUAGUCAAAUUAAGCAAGCAGCAUUCAAGAUUAACCUGGGCUCCAUCUGACGGCUGCUUUUGUUCUCCCCUCCCCCCGAUCCAGGGAGGAAGAGGA
rnacentral:lncRNA from 1 species